rnacentral:rRNA from 1 species
GACGAACGCUGGCGGCGUGCUUAACACAUGCAAGUCGAACGCUGAAGCUCAGCUUUUGUUGGGUGGAUGAGUGGCGAACGGGUGAGUAACACGUGAGUAACCUGCCUCCUUCUUUGGGAUAACGCCCGGAAACGGGUGCUAAUACUGGAUAUUCACUGGUCUUCGCAUGGGGGUUGGUGGAAAGGGUUUUUCUGGUGGGGGAUGGGCUCGCGGCCUAUCAGCUUGUUGGUGGGGUGAUGGCCUACCAAGGCUUUGACGGGUAGCCGGCCUGAGAGGGUGACCGGUCACAUUGGGACUGAGCUACGGCCCAGACUCCUACGGGGGGCAGCAGUGGGGAAUAUUGCACAAUGGGCGCAAGCCUGAUGCAGCGACGCCGCGUGAGGGAUGGAGGCCUUCGGGUUGUGAACCUCUUUCGCUCAUGGUCAAGCCGCAACAAUGGUUGUGGUGAGGGUAGUGGGUAAAGAAGCGCCGGCUAACUACGUG